rnacentral:misc_RNA from 1 species
CAAGCCAGCAGCCAAAACCGCGAUCCCGGUGACAGCCGCCCUUCCGCGGCUUUCCUUUCGAUCCCGCAUCCGCACUGUCGAGCGCUCGUGUCGCACACCGAUCCCCACUCACCCACGCCAACGAUGCCGCGCAAGAAGAAUGCGUUCAUGUACUCCAUCGACCCGGAGCUGUACACUCGCUCGCACGCGCCGGCCAGUACGAUCGCCAUGGGUAUGAAGAGCUCCCAAGCCUCCUCGCUCUGCUGGGCGAAUCAGGUGCAGCAGGAGGAGCGGAUUCGCGAAAUGUGGGGUGCGACGUACGACCCACACCACAACCGGGAAAAUCGGGCUUUGCAAGCAGUGCAGCAGACGCGCGCGCGUGAUGCGGCGCGGCACGAGGCGUACGUGAACCCCGAACACAACCCAGAGCUGUGCAGCAUCCUGUACAAGAAGGUGCCUCCGUUCUCUGUAAGCGACGCAGCGGCGGCAACGGCGGCAUCCUCGUCUCCCCAGCACCACACCACCACAGAAGCAGCUCUGGCAGGGACAGCGACGGGCACAGGUGACCCAAGCGACAGCGCCUUCGCUCGUUCUGCGCGCUCCGUCACGCAGGAAUACCUUCAGGCUCGCUGCAGGCACCACACGUUGCAGCAGCGCUACCCGAGUGGACCGGUCACCGCCGCGCAGGCUGUGGGGUGGGCGGCCGGUGCAACCGACCGGGCUUCGGCGUCGUCACUAGAGGCGUCGUCUUCCCCGUACCGCCAGGUGCGCCGUCGCCAGAUCGGUGCCUAUCGAAAGCCAGAGGACGAUGAACACGCGUUGCUGUUCGGCUACGACUAUACGCCGAAGUAGGCAUCUAGGGGCAGCGACAUGCGCCGCGCAGGUCUCUCCGUUGUGUCUGACGCUCGUAACUCGCUCGCUGCCUCUUGCGAUGUCAGCGAAAACCUGUGGAAGCGUGCGUGUGUGUGUAUGUGAGUGUGUCACGGUGUAGGUGAAUAUGUAUGCUUGCUUCUCGUGCGAUGUCUCAUUACUUCUGCGACGUGCUCUCUCUCUUCCCUUCUC